UUUUUGAUAGCUUAGAUUUAAAGCUGUAACCUUUUAAUUUACACGAGGGUCGUAAGGCCUCUUGAAU
rnacentral:tRNA from 1 species